CCGUGCUAGAUGGGGAGGUAGCGGUGCCCUGUAACUCGCAAUCCGCUGCAGCGAGGUUGAACUCCUGCCUUAGGUCGUGCCGAUGUGAAGUCUGGCAGCUGUGAAAGGUGUUGACGGACGGGUCCUCCGCAAUGGAUGCCUGUGAACCCGGUCAGGUCCGGAAGGAAGCAGCCGUAAGCAGGUUAAUUCAUGUGCCGGAGGAGUGCCUGGCCCGAGCUGGGAUCAGAGGUGCCGUUCGGAUCGCAUAGAUCAACGGCAGGUGCACGG
rnacentral:SRP_RNA from 1 species